CCUACGGGAGUCUGCAGUGGGGAAUAUUGCACAAUGGGGGAAACCCUGAUGCAGCGACGCCGCGUGAGUGAAGAAGUAUUUCGGUACGUAAAGCUCUAUCAGCAGGGAAGAAAAUGACGGUACCUGACUAAGAAGCCCCGGCUAACUACGUGCCAGCAGCAGCGGUAAUACGUAGGGGGCAAGAGUUAUCCUGAUUUACUGGGUGUAAAGGGAGCGUAGACGGCAGCGCAAGUCUGGAGUGAAAUCCCAUGGCUUAACCAUGGAACUGCUUUGGAAACUGUGCAGCUAGAGUGCAGGAGAGGUAAGCGGAAUUCCUAGUGUAGCGGUGAAAUGCGUAGAUAUUAGGAGGAACAACAGUGGCGAAGGCGGCUUACUGGACUGUAACUGACGUUGAGGCUCGAAAGCGUGGGGAGCAAACAGGAUUAGAUACCCCAGUAGUC
rnacentral:rRNA from 1 species